CAGAAACAGCUAUCAAAGAGAAACAAGACGAUCAUAAAAAAUAAAGGAGCACACACUACAGUAGCAAGAGAUAUGGUAUGAAUAACAAGGAAGACAUGACUAUCAAGAGCACAAGACAUACACACCUGCAGCUUCUAGUAAAGCUUCCAGUCUAGCCUGUGUCUCUGGAUCUACCGUCCUGAGGUCUGCACCGUCAGCAGUGCCUGAUAAGAGCAACUUGGAAGCUGUUUCCAGCAUUGGAUUCUCCAAAUCAUCCUGGUCCAAAAUGAAAGACUCCACCUAGAACAGAAAAAGAAGACAGGAAAGAGGAGAAGAGGACAAAAACAAAAUAAGAUCAGAGGGAGAAAAAUAUAUUUAGCAUAAUUACCAAUGAAGACAGGAAACUUUUGCAGACUCACAUGAAUUGACACUAUGGUG